rnacentral:rRNA from 1 species
AGCGAACGCUGGCGGCAGGCUUAACACAUGCAAGUCGAACGGUCCUUCGGGAUAGUGGCGGACGGGUGAGUAACACGUGGGAACGUACCCUUAGGUUCGGAACAACACAGGGAAACUUGUGCUAAUACCGGAUAAGCCCUUCGGGGGAAAGAUUUAUCGCCUUUGGAGCGGCCCGCGUCUGAUUAGCUUGUUGGUGAGGUAAUGGCUCACCAAGGCUACGAUCAGUAGCUGGUCUGAGAGGAUGGCCAGCCACACUGGGACUGAGACACGGCCCAGACUCCUACGGGAGGCAGCAGUGGGGAAUCUUGCGCAAUGGGCGAAAGCCUGACGCAGCCAUGCCGCGUGGAUGAUGAAGGUCUUAGGAUUGUAAAAUCCUUUCACCGGGGACGAUAAUGACGGUACCCGGAGAAGAAGCCCCGGCUAACUUCG